CAACGGGCUUUGUCCAAUGAAACACUUAUCGGACAUCAAGGGUUCAGAUCAGUGUUCACUGGACAAAGAUCGUUA
rnacentral:pre_miRNA from 1 species